GGAUAUCAGGGCGAUCUGGCCGGGACACCUGUCACCCCACUCAUCACCAGGAUCAUCAGCUGAUCUGGUUGGCGAGGCAGGUGUCCCCUCCUUUCCUGCCUGCUCCAUGUGCAUCCUUCCUGAAGCUAUGAGCUCAGUCAAAGGAAAAGAGAACUACCGUAUUAUCCAG
rnacentral:snRNA from 1 species